rnacentral:sRNA from 1 species
UAUCUUCUAGGUCGUAAUAUCUUCUCGAAGGGUAUAGUAUCAAUUAAAUCUUAUCACUCACAAAAGCACGCAAUGGCCAAGACAUUGUCCAUCCGCAACGUUGACUGCCUUGGAUCAACAGUUGAGAACCAAGCAUAUGGCGGCUGUUUCAAGGACAUUCGAAAGGCUCUGCAUCCCUAAUGGAAUCCAUAACCGAUAGGAAUUUUAAUAUCAGACACGUGUCAAUGGGAGACAUGAGUGUUUCCUGCAUGACAGACACCAGUGGGCACACAAAUAGACACACACUCUUACACAGAUCGACGCUCAUUUCGCUCAUCUAUUUGUCAAAUACUCAUGAUUUUCCAUCCCAUUUCCCUUUGACGUUUCAAGAGGCAUUUUCAAUUCCUGUUUGCAUACAGGAAAAUGGUUGGAGGCACAGCUGUUGUUGACCACUUCCGUUGAGGGUGUCGCCAAGGGGGGUGGCUGGGCCUACAUCCAGGUUGACACUCCUGCCACCACGCCCACAUUCCACCACGCAAAAGCGGAAAUGUUCUCCCUGGCAGCCCCUGGCGUCUCAUGCGUCUGAGCAAUUGUUACCUUUUUCCGUGCGCCCAAGUGCGUUGAACUUGGCCCAUUUUAUGGCGUAAGUUUGAGUGAAAAUUCAGCAAUUGAGGCAACUCAGGAAUUUGUUUUCGCCAUUGGGGGACACGUCUGCGCCCAUUUCUCGUUCGGUGGUUGGGUGGGGCGUCAUCGUCCCUCUGGGGAGGCGUCAAACAAAGUGCGAGCGUUAAUCUUCUAGCCGCUUAUGAUGCUUAUGGUAUUUGUAGACGCAGCGGGCACUGUGGAAUAUAUUCCGCUGAAUUUGCAAGCAUACAUUUUAAGGAAGAAGGCCUGCCCGAGUGUAGCGACAGUUGGAACAGCAAGGGCCUGUUGUUCCGCGAGUUACGAAUGGCCUCAAUCAUGGCCUGUAGCUUCCGCCGUUCUCCACAUGGAUAAAGCCAUACGAACUCCUAAAUGUUGUGCUCUACUGUCUUCCAAACGUCACUCAAGCUGCUCCACUACCUCUUUCAAGGUCAGUUUUGUUCAGGUCCAGAAGAGCUUGAGCAACUAGUUGACCAUUUUCAUAGACUUAUAAGUAAA